rnacentral:rRNA from 1 species
AUUCCUACGGGAGGCAGCAGUGGGGAAUAUUGCACAAUGGGCGCAAGCCUGAUGCAGCCAUGCCGCGUGUAUGAAGAAGGCCUUCGGGUUGUAAAGUACUUUCAGUCGUGAGGAAGGUUCAUACGUUAAUAGCGUAUGGAUUUGACGUUAGCGACAGAAGAAGCACCGGCUAACUCCGUGCCAGCAGCCGCGGUAAUAAUU